rnacentral:rRNA from 1 species
GAUGAACGCUGACAGAAUGCUUAACACAUGCCAGUCUUUGGCGAAGCUGUGCUUGCACAGCCUAGCCAAGGCGGACGGGUGAGUAACGCGUAAGGAACUUGCCCUGCAGUCAGGGAUAACAGACGGAAACGACUGAUAAGACCUGGUAAAGUCAGGCGGACUCAUGUCCAGCCUGAUGAAAAGAGAUGCUGCAGGAGAGCCUUGCGUCCUAUUAGCUUGUUGGUGGGGUAACGGCCCACCAAGGCGAUGAUAGGUAGCCGGCCUGAGAGGGUGGACGGCCACAAGGGGACUGAGAUACGGCCCUUACUCCUACGGGAGGCAGCAGUGGGGAAUAUUGGACAAUGGGGGCAACCCUGAUCCAGCAAUUCUGUGUGCACGAUGAAGGUUUUCGGAUUGUAAAGUGCUUUCAGCGGGGAAGAAAAAAAUGACGGUACCUGCAGAAGAAGCGACGGCUAAAUACGUG